GCAAGUCGAGCGAACAGACGAGGAGCUUGCUCCUCUGACGUUAGCGGCGGACGGGUGAGUAACACGUGGAUAACCUACCUAUAAGACUGGGAUAACUUCGGGAAACCGGAGCUAAUACCGGAUAAUAUAUUGAACCGCAUGGUUCAAUAGUGAAAGACGGUUUUGCUGUCACUUAUAGAUGGAUCCGCGCCGCAUUAGCUAGUUGGUAAGGUAACGGCUUACCAAGGCAACGAUGCGUAGCCGACCUGAGAGGGUGAUCGGCCACACUGGAACUGAGACACGGUCCAGACUCCUACGGGAGGCAGCAGUAGGGAAUCUUCCGCAAUGGGCGAAAGCCUGACGGAGCAACGCCGCGUGAGUGAUGAAGGUCUUCGGAUCGUAAAACUCUGUUAUUAGGGAAGAACAAAUGUGUAAGUAACUAUGCACGUCUUGACGGUACCUAAUCAGAAAGCCACGGCUAACUACGUGCCAGCAGCCGCGGUAAUACGUAGGUGGCAAGCGUUAUCCGGAAUUAUUGGGCGUAAAGCGCGCGUAGGCGGUUUUUUAAGUCUGAUGUGAAAGCCCACGGCUCAACCGUGGAGGGUCAUUGGAAACUGGAAAACUUGAGUGCAGAAGAGGAAAGUGGAAUUCCAUGUGUAGCGGUGAAAUGCG
rnacentral:rRNA from 1 species